rnacentral:rRNA from 1 species
UACGGAGGGGGCUAGCGUUGUUCGGAAUUACUGGGCGUAAAGGGCGCGUAGGCGGAUAGUUUAGUCAGAGGUGAAAGCCCAGGGCUCAACCUUGGAAUUGCCUUUGAUACUGGCUAUCUUGAGUUCGGGAGAGGUGAGUGGAAUGCCGAGUGUAGAGGUGAAAUUCGUAGAUAUUCGGCGGAACACCAGUGGCGAAGGCGACUCACUGGCCCGAUACUGACGCUGAGGCGCGAAAGCGUGGGGAGCAAACAGG